UAAUUGCUGUUAAUCCAGCCCUGCUUCUUGUACAAAUGCAUAGUGGGGAGACAUGAACAUUUUUCGAAAUUGCGGCCCUAUCCUCUUGGGAUUCUACGUUGGACAAAUUCUGAAAACGACCCAGAAAUAUAAUUGGAGGUUCAAACCCGUGCGAGGUGAGGUUUGAUAUAUGAAACAGACCAGUCAUGGGGACACGAGAUAUGCAAAGUUUCAGCGUAGUCGUCGCCACAUUGCUGCCAACACUGCAUAUAUAAGGAAUCACGAACCAUUCAGGAAUAUUGAGACUUAGACCAGUAUCUUUUUAAGUAGGCAUGUGGGGUAAAGAAGACGCAGAAGCUUCAGUCGGGUACCAUCGGUAACGUAGGCGAUUAAUAUAUUUCCACCACUACAUAUGUUGGAUUGGAAUUUCCCAUUUGAUGCUUUGACUGACUAAAUGAGGAAACUUGGAGGUAAGCUCUUACGGAAUUCUAUCGAAAUAUGUUUAGUAACAUAUUGGUGCAU